AGAGUUUGAUCCUGGCUCAGAAUCAACGCUGGCGGCGUGCCUAACACAUGCAAGUCGAACGAGAAAGUGGAGCAAUCCAUGAGUAAAGUGGCGACCGGGUGAGUAACACGUGACCAAUCUACCCUCGAGUGGGGGAUAACUCCGGGAAACCGGGGCUAAUACCGCAUAAUAUCUUCGGGUCGGAAGAACUGAAGAUCAAAGGAGCAAUUCGCUUGAGGAGGAGGUCGCGGCUGAUUAGCUAGUUGGCGGGGUAAUGGCCCACCAAGGCGAAGAUCGGUAGCCGGCCUGAGAGGGCGCACGGCCACACUGGAACUGAAACACGGUCCAGACUCCUACGGGAGGCAGCAGUGGGGAAUUUUGCGCAAUGGGGGAAACCCUGACGCAGCAACGCCGCGUGGAGGAUGAAGUCCCUUGGGACGUAAACUCCUUUCGACCGGGACGAUAAUGACGGUACCGGUGGAAGAAGCCCCGGCUAACUACGUGCCAGCAGCCGCGGUAAGACGUAGGGGGCCAGCGUUGUUCGGAAUUACUGGGUGUAAAGGGUUCGUAGGCGGUGCGGCAAGUUGGGAGUGAAAUCUCUGGGCUUAACCC
rnacentral:rRNA from 1 species